AGAGUUUGAUCCUGGCUCAGGAUGAACGCUAGCGACAGGCUUAACACAUGCAAGUCGAGGGGCAUCGGGGAGUAGCAAUACUCUGCCGGCGACCGGCGCACGGGUGAGUAACGCGUAUGUAACCUGCCUUAUACAGGGGGAUAGCCCAUGGAAACGUGGAUUAAUAUCCCAUGGCACUUGAGAACCGCAUGGUUUUCAGGUUAAAGCUCCGGCGGUAUAAGAUGGACAUGCGUCCUAUUAGGUAGUUGGUAGGGUAACGGCCUACCAAGCCAAUGAUAGGUAGGGGUUCUGAGAGGAAGGUCCCCCACACUGGUACUGAGACACGGACCAGACUCCUACGGGAGGCAGCAGUGAGGAAUAUUGGUCAAUGGGCGCAAGCCUGAACCAGCCAAGUCGCGUGAAGGAUGACUGCCCUAUGGGUUGUAAACUUCUUUUGUAAGGGGAGAAACCAGAUUACGUGUAAUCUGUUGACAGUACUUUACGAAUAAGCAUCGGCUAACUCCGUGCCAGCAGCCGCGGUAAUACGGAGGAUGCGAGCGUUAUCCGGAUUUAUUGGGUUUAAAGGGUGCGUAGGCGGUUUUGUAAGUUAGUGGUCAAAUGUCAUGGCUUAACCUUGGCUUGCCAUUAAAACUGCAGGACUCGAGUACAGACGAGGUAGGCGGAAUAAGUUAAGUAGCGGUGAAAUGCAUAGAUAUAACUUAGAACUCCGAUAGCGAAGGCAGCUUACCAGACUGUAACUGACGCUGAUGCACGAGAGCAUGGGUAGCGAACAGGAUUAGAUACCCUGGUAGUCCAUGCCGUAAACGAUGCUCACUGGCUCUAUGCGAUACACCGCAUGGGGUCAAGCGAAAGUAUUAAGUGAGCCACCUGGGGAGUACGUCGGCAACGAUGAAAC
rnacentral:rRNA from 1 species